CGUGUGUGUGUUGUGUGAUGAAAUGAAGAUGGUGUAGUCUACUAUAUAAGGGAGAGUUGACGACGAUGACAUGGUAAGUAACUUACGGUGUGAUCAAGACGGACGGCGGAGAUCUUGUUUGCGUGAGAAUUCUAUCAAUAGCAGCGGCACGGAUAAGCUCUGAAAUACAUGCGCAGGGAGAGCAUGCCACGUGUCAAAUACGUUACGGUGUCCACGUGGCGAUAUUCAUAUGGCUGGUUGGAUAAAAUAUGCAGCCUAGAGGGUAAAUUGUAUAUUGUCACAAACUUAGAUUACAAUGCAAUGUCCAUACAUACAGAUUGUCAAAUAUGGGCAUUUCCCGUAUUUUAAAUUGAUGCGUAUAUAUAGUAUAUCACUAAUGAUUAGAGAUACUAGAUAUCUUA